ensembl:lncRNA
CACCUUGGCUGUGAAACGGGGUGUGUGUGGAGGGCUGGUGGGGAGGGGGCAGCCUGCGGGCGGGGACGUGGAGACGCGCAGGCUGGGGGCGGCGCAGGCGGGCUGAGGGGUCCUGGGCUCGCCAGGGCCUCGUCUGGGGUUAUGACUCCCGCGGGAAGCACGACUGCUUCGGAGAGUUCUCCACCGCCUUCGAGGAGAUGCAGAAAGCCUUUGGGGAGAACCAGGGGAGCGGGCCCUCCCUGCCCUGCCUGUGGGCGAGCCGGAAGCGCUGGCCCUGGGCUGGGCUGUCCCAGAAGCUGUGAUGGCUUUAGAGAGAAGACCGGUGACGACGGCGGAGAAUGAUACCCGCUGGCCCAGCAGGGAGCUGGGGUCGGGACCCCAGGCCUGUGUGGAAGCUGGAGAAACGCCCUCCAGGGCGAGGGAUUUCAGGCUCCCCCCCGGCCCCAAGGGUGGGUGUUGGGCGGUGGCGCUCGGGAUGGGGGUCUCUGCCUGUCCCUGUCCCCCCGGCCCAGUGGGACUGUGUGAACCCCAAGUACAAGCAGAAGAGGCGCAGUUACAGGAACUCGGGCGUGGCCUUGCUGGCCGACCCGAAGGUGGCUGUUGACUUCACCCUCGGAACAGCUGCUCCCUUCACUAUAUCAACUCCUUCCAGCCCAGCGAAUACCUGCAGGCCCUGGUGGCCGUGGGCGAGAUCUGCCAGGACUAUGACAGGUGCGCUGGCCUCCCCACCCCGGGCGCACCCCCGCUGUCCCCCUCACCUUCACACAGACCCGGGCUUCCGAGUCCCACUGCACAGACCAGUAAACUGGGGCUGUCGGGGCCAAGCUCCCACACCGGUGGCUCUGCCCCUUGUCUGCGCGCAUGCUGGGCAGCUCCUUUGUGGCUUUUUGCCUCAGUUUCCCCCAUGUGGCUCAGGGUGGGGCCUGGCCCCCCCAAAAGGGUCAGCCUGGUCUCCUGGUUCUGUUGAUGUCUCCCCCCCACCCCAUCCCCAGGAGACCAGGGCCCUGGGUGAUGGGGCCACCUCUCUUUCAGCGACAAGAGGCUCUCUGCUUUGGGGUUUGGAGCCCAGAUCCCUCCCAAGGAUGAGGUAGGAGGCCUGGGUCCCGGGACCCGCUGGUUGCUGCCUCCCCCCUCCCCUGGGAGCCAGCUACCGUGUGAUGGGCAGUAGACAGGGUUCAGGGACCAGCCUCUGGCCAGAGGUCUGACCUUUGACCUCCCAGCACCAGCCCAGUGAUCCUAGGGCUGAAGAUAAGCCCUGUGGCCCUGUCCGGAGAAGGGGGACAUUAGUCCAGAAUCCUCCAGUGAGAAGGGAUUUUAGCUGGCUUAAGCAGGAACUUGGUGGGGUUUAUCAGCUAAUGAAACUCAGGAGCUUCAGGUCUGGCUGGAUCCAGGGCUGGAGCGAUGCCCAGCACUAGUCUGUCUGUCCACCCUCUGUCCCCAGUGACUCCCGCCCAUGGGCGCUCCAAACCUGCUUCCCCCAGUGGGUCAGGAUCGACUGGCUGACCGGUCCUUUCUGUGCCCGCCCAGGUGUCCCAUGACUUUGCCAUCAAUUUCAACCCGGAGGACGGUGAGUGUGAAGGUAGGAGCUCCAGGUGCCUGGGCUGGGGGUGGGGUGGCAGCGAGGCCGGCUCGUGCCCUUCCCCCCGCAGGCAUCCAGGGCAUGGUGGAGGCGUCCCAGAACUGCCUGCCCAGGGUCCAGCUGUAUGGCCACCACGUGGCUCCCAUCAUCUCCAAGGUGGUCUGCACGGCUGCAGCUGAGGAACGCAGCGGAGAGGCUUCUGUAGGUGGUGGGCGGGCACUGCGGGGACCGCGUGCCUUAGAAGGUGUGCCUGCUGCUGGGGAGGUGGGACCGGAUGGGGGUUUGCAGAGGUUGACAGAGCAGCCCGCGGGAGGCCCUGAGGCAGGGAGCGAGAGGCAGCUGGGUGGCAGCGGGGCUGAGAGACCAGGAGGCCCCAGAGCCAGUGGGGUAAGGUGAAUUCUUGCCCUGGAGGCUGACUUGCCGAGCCCGCAGGCAGCCCGAUGUUUAUGGCUCUCUUGGUCCUAUUGUGCGUACGUCGUUAUUUUUUUUUUUUUUUGUCUUUUUUUUGUUGU